UGUUCUGUGGCUUAGUAGGUUUAAGGGCCGGUCUAGCGAAUGUGAAGUCGUGGGUUCGAAUCCCACCAGAAUGU
rfam:Aedes albopictus isolate Foshan contig87958, whole genome shotgun sequence.